rnacentral:rRNA from 1 species
CGUUUAUUUGAUAGUACCUUACUACUUGGAUAACCGUGGUAAUUCUAGAGCUAAUACAUGCUGAAAACCCUGACUUCGGAAAGGGUGUAUUUAUUAGAUAAAAAACCAAUGCCCUUUGGGCUCUUUGGUGAUUCAUGAUAACUUAACGGAUCGCAUGGCCUUGCGCCGGCGACGGUUCAUUCAAAUUUCUGCCCUAUCAACUUUCGAUGGUAAGGUAUUGGCUUACCAUGGUUUCAACGGGUAACGGGGAAUUAGGGUUCGAUUCCGGAGAGGGAGCCUGAGAAACGGCUACCACAUCCAAGGAAGGCAGCAGGCGCGCAAAUUACCCAAUCCCGACACGGGGAGGUAGUGACAAUAAAUACUGAUACAGGGCUCUUUUGGGUCUUGUAAUCGGAAUGAGUACAAUUUAAACCUCUUAACGAGGAACAAUUGGAGGGCAAGUCUGGUGCCAGCAGCCGCGGUAAUUCCAGCUCCAAUAGCGUAUAUUAAAGUUGUUGCAGUUAAAAAGCUCGUAGUUGAAUCUUGGGCCUGGCUGGCCGGUCCGCCUCACCGCGUGUACUGGUCUGGCCGGGCCUUUCCUUCUGGAGAACCUCAUGCCCUUCAGUGGGUGUGUUGGGGAACCAGGACUUUUACUUUGAAAAAAUUAGAGUGUUCAAAGCAGGCCUUUGCUCGAAUACGUUAGCAUGGAAUAAUAGAAUAGGACGUGCGGUCCUAUUUUGUUGGUUUCUAGGACCGCCGUAAUGAUUAAUAGGGAUAGUCGGGGGCAUCAGUAUUCAAUUGUCAGAGGUGAAAUUCUUGGAUUUAUUGAAGACUAACUACUGCGAAAGCAUUUGCCAAGGAUGUUUUCAUUAAUCAGUGAACGAAAGUUAGGGGAUCGAAGACGAUCAGAUACCGUCGUAGUCUUAACCGUAAACUAUGCCGACUAGGGAUCGGGCGAUGUUUCUAUCUUG